rnacentral:rRNA from 1 species
CCUACGGGAGGCAGCAGUGGGGAAUAUUGCACAAUGGGGGAAACCCUGAUGCAGCAACGCCGCGUGAGGGAAGAAGGAUUUCGGUAUGUAAAGCUCUAUCAGCAGGGAAGAAGAAAGACAGUACCUGACUAAGAAGCGCCGGCUAACUACGUGCGAGAAGCCGCGGUAAAACGUAGGGGGCAAGAGUUAUCCGGAUGUACUGGGUGAAAAGGGAGCGUAGACGGCUGUGCAAGUAUGAAGUGAAAGCCCAGGGCUCAACCCUGGGACUGCUUUGGAAACUGUGGAGCUAGAGUGCUGGAGAGGUAAGUGGAAUUCCUAGUGUAGCGGUGAAAUGCGUAGAUAUUAGGAGGAACACCAGUGGCGAAGGCGGCUUACUGGACAGUAACUGACGUUGAGGCUCGAAAGCGUGGGGAGCAAACAGGAUUAGAUACCCCUGUAGUC